GAGCGGAUGAAAGGAGCUUGCUCCUGGAUUCAGCGGCGGACGGGUGAGUAAUGCCUAGGAAUCUGCCUGGUAGUGGGGGACAACGUUUCGAAAGGAGCGCUAAUACCGCAUACGUCCUACGGGAGAAAGCAGGGGACCUUCGGGCCUUGCGCUAUCAGAUGAGCCUAGGUCGGAUUAGCUAGUUGGUGAGGUAAUGGCUCACCAAGGCGACGAUCCGUAACUGGUCUGAGAGGAUGAUCAGUCACACUGGAACUGAGACACGGUCCAGACUCCUACGGGAGGCAGCAGUGGGGAAUAUUGGACAAUGGGCGAAAGCCUGAUCCAGCCAUGCCGCGUGUGUGAAGAAGGUCUUCGGAUUGUAAAGCACUUUAAGUUGGGAGGAAGGGUUGUAGAUUAAUACUCUGCAAUUUUGACGUUACCGACAGAAUAAGCACCGGCUAACUCUGUG
rnacentral:rRNA from 1 species